GAUUGUUUAUUACUUACUCUGUCCUUUUUAUAAGAAACAAAUAACUGAUUAAUCAAGACCAAUGAAAAGUAUUUAAAAGUUUAAGUUUUACUAGUGUUGAGAACCCGUGCAACACACAAGGAAAAAGUCCUCAAAAGAAUAUAAAUUAGUUAGGAAUUAUAGUUUGUUGUUUUAGUUAUCGAGCAACGAAGAUGUUUAACAAUACUCUUAAGGACAUAG
rnacentral:lncRNA from 1 species